rnacentral:rRNA from 1 species
ACGAACGCUGGCGGCGCACCUAAGACAUGCAAGUCGGACGAUCGGGAGACCGAUAGUGGCGGACGGGGUGAGUAACACGUGGGCGACCUGCCCUGCAGUGGGGGAUAACAGGGGGAAACCUCUGCUAAGACCGCAUGCGAGCGUGGCCAUAGGGGGCCACGGGGGAAAAGCCGCAAGGCUGCUGCAGGAGGGGCCCGCGGCGGAUUAGCUAGUUGGGGGGGUAGCGGCCCCCCAAGGCGACGAUCCGUAGCUGGUCUGAGAGGACGGCCAGCCACACCGGGACUGAGAGACGGCCCGGACUCCUACGGGAGGCAGCAGUUAGGGAACUUUCACACUGGGCGCAAGCCUGAUGGAGUGACGCCGCGUGCAGGAGGACGGCCCUCGGGUCGUAAACUGCUUUUGCGGGGGACGAGGAUGACGGUACCCCGCGAAGAAGCCCCGGCUAACUACGUGCCAGCAGCCGCGGUAAUACGUAGGGGGCGAGCGUUGUCCGGAAUCAUUGGGCGUAAAGCGCGCGUAGGCGGGCGCCCGCAUCCACUGUGAAAGCCCCGGGCUCAACCCGGGGAGGUCGGUGGAGAUGGGGCACCUGGAGGGUCGCCAGAGGCAAGCGGAAGUCCCGAAGUAGUGGUGAAAUGCGUAGAGAUCGGGAGGGAACACCCGAGGCGAAGGCGGCUUGCUGGGCGGCACCUGACGCUGAGGGCGCGAAAAGCCAGGGGAGCGAACGGAAUUAGAUACUCCGGUAGUCCUGGCCGUAAACGAUGGAGACCAGAUGGGGGCGGUCUCGACUCCGUCCCUGUCGCCGCUAACGCCAUGAGUCUCCCGCCUGGGGAGUACGGCCGCAAGGCUAAAACUCAAAGGAAUUGACGGGGGCCCGCACAAGCAGCGGAGCGUGUGGUUUAAUUCGACGCAACGCGCAGAACCUUACCAGGGCUUGACAGGCACGCGCUAAGGGCUGAAAGGCCCCCUUCCGCGAGGACGCGUGUACAGGUGUUGCAUGGCUGUCGUCAGCUCGUGCCGUGAGGUGUUGGGUUAAGUCCCGCAACGAGCGCAACCCCCGUGGCUAGUUAGGCUGUCUAGCCAGACUGCCGGGAGGAACCCGGAGGAAGGCGGGGAUGACGUCAAGUCGGGCACGGCCCUUACGCCCUGGGCGACACACACGCUACAAUGGCCGGCCACAGCGGGCCGCGAUGAGCGCGAGCUGGAGCCAAUCCCUGCAAAGCCGGUCGUAGUUCGGAUUGGGGGGCUGCAACUCGCCCCCAUGAAGGCGGAGUUGCUAGUAACCGUGGGUCAGCACACCGCGGUGAAUAUGUACCCGGGCCUUGUACACACCGCCCGUCACACCAUGGGAGCGCGGGGGGCUUGAAGCCGCUAGGCCAACCGUAAGGAGGCCGGUGUCGAGGGCAAAUCGCGUGACUAGGGUG